GGGGUUGUAGCUCAGUAGUAGAUCACUUGUCUUGCGUGCAUGAGGCACUGGGUUUGAAUCUCAGCACCUCA
rfam:Ictidomys tridecemlineatus contig033076, whole genome shotgun sequence.